AAAUUGAAGAGUUUGAUCAUGGCUCAGAUUGAACGCUGGCGGCAGGCCUAACACAUGCAAGUCGAGCGGUAGCACAGAGAGCUUGCUCUCGGGUGACGAGCGGCGGACGGGUGAGUAAUGUCUGGGAAACUGCCUGAUGGAGGGGGAUAACUACUGGAAACGGUAGCUAAUACCGCAUAAUGUCGCAAGACCAAAGUGGGGGACCUUCGGGCCUCAUGCCAUCAGAUGUGCCCAGAUGGGAUUAGCUAGUAGGUGGGGUAACGGCUCACCUAGGCGACGAUCCCUAGCUGGUCUGAGAGGAUGACCAGCCACACUGGAACUGAGACACGGUCCAGACUCCUACGGGAGGCAGCAGUGGGGAAUAUUGCACAAUGGGCGCAAGCCUGAUGCAGCCAUGCCGCGUGUGUGAAGAAGGCCUUCGGGUUGUAAAGCACUUUCAGCGGGGAGGAAGGCGUUAAGGUUAAUAACCUUGGCGAUUGACGUUACCCGCAGAAGAAGCACCGGCUAACUCCGUGCCAGCAGCCGCGGUAAUACGGAGGGUGCAAGCGUUAAUCGGAAUUACUGGGCGUAAAGCGCACGCAGGCGGUCUGUCAAGUCGGAUGUGAAAUCCCCGGGCUCAACCUGGGAACUGCAUUCGAAACUGGCAGGCUAGAGUCUUGUAGAGGGGGGUAGAAUUCCAGGUGUAGCGGUGAAAUGCGUAGAGAUCUGGAGGAAUACCGGUGGCGAAGGCGGCCCCCUGGACAAAGACUGACGCUCAGGUGCGAAAGCGUGGGGAGCAAACAGGAUUAGAUACCCUGGUAGUCCACGCCGUAAACGAUGUCGAUUUGGAGGUUGUGCCCUUGAGGCGUGGCUUCCGGAGCUAACGCGUUAAAUCGACCGCCUGGGGAGUACGGCCGCAAGGUUAAAACUCAAAUGAAUUGACGGGGGCCCGCACAAGCGGUGGAGCAUGUGGUUUAAUUCGAUGCAACGCGAAGAACCUUACCUGGUCUUGACAUCCACAGAACUUUCCAGAGAUGGAUUGGUGCCUUCGGGAACUGUGAGACAGGUGCUGCAUGGCUGUCGUCAGCUCGUGUUGUGAAAUGUUGGGUUAAGUCCCGCAACGAGCGCAACCCUUAUCCUUUGUUGCCAGCGGUUCGGCCGGGAACUCAAAGGAGACUGCCAGUGAUAAACUGGAGGAAGGUGGGGAUGACGUCAAGUCAUCAUGGCCCUUACGACCAGGGCUACACACGUGCUACAAUGGCAUAUACAAAGAGAAGCGACCUCGCGAGAGCAAGCGGACCUCAUAAAGUAUGUCGUAGUCCGGAUUGGAGUCUGCAACUCGACUCCAUGAAGUCGGAAUCGCUAGUAAUCGUAGAUCAGAAUGCUACGGUGAAUACGUUCCCGGGCCUUGUACACACCGCCCGUCACACCAUGGGAGUGGGUUGCAAAAGAAGUGGGUAGCUUAACCUUCGGGAGGGCGCUUACCACUUUGUGAUUCAUGACUGGGGUGAAGUCGUAACAAGGUAACCGUAGGGGAACCUGCGGUUGGAUCACCUCCUUA
rnacentral:rRNA from 1 species